rnacentral:rRNA from 1 species
UACGUAGGGGGCAAGCGUUGUCCGGAAUUAUUGGGCGUAAAGCGCGCGUAGGCGGUCUUUUAAGUCUGGUGUGAAAGGUUCAGGGCUCAACCCGAACAGUGCACUGGAUACUGGGAGACUUGAGUAUGGGAGAGGAGAGCGGAAUUCCUGGUGUAGCGGUGAAAUGCGUAGAUAUCAGGAGGAACACCGAUGGCGAAGGCAGCUCUCUGGCCUGUAACUGACGCUGAGGUGCGAAAGCGUGGGGAGCAAACAGG